CCCAGAGUUCCCUGAGGAAGGACAGAGAGAGACCAAGAAGUCAGGCCAGCACAUAACCCUGAACCUGGCCCAUGGAUAAACCUUUGCCAGCCUUCUGUGUGAGACACAUGUGCCCGAAUAUUGCAGUUGCCUCAGCUGACUUCAGGACAACUACCAGACAUAUUAAGUGAGGCCAUGGUAGGUUAUCCAGCCCCGGCUAAGUGGGUCCAGCCCAGAAGAAUCACCCAGUUUCCAUUGGAGAAACCAAGGCAGUCUUGCCCACUGCCUCCUGUCUUCCCAUCACAAAAGUUUUAGUCAUCGACAGUGCAGGUUUAUUAGCACAAAAAGAAAACCAAAUGAAGCAAGACCGAACAACCUAGUAAUUAUUCUUCAGGACACAUGCGAUUUGACAACACAUAGUCUACCUGAGCUGCAUAUAGGAUUGAAACAGAAAGCUGACAUAUGGAGCUUCCUGAAGGCUUCAGGCCCCAUUUCAGCAUCUAUGCAUUUAUGCAUAAAAUUCAAAGACGGUCAAGGAAAAGACUCUCUAUUCACUACGACAGGAAGAAGAAAAAGACAACACAGGCAUAAUCAUCAGUGGUCAAAUUGAAGAAGAGUUUAUUAACAGCUACAAAAGAAGGAGCAUCAUUUUCCUAGCAAAGAUUCUGGCCAAUGAUUAUUUCUUAUCUCUAGUCUCUGCUGGAAAAGACAUUCUAUGCUCAGGGGACAGAUUUUUCAGAGCCUCCCAGGCCAGCAUGUAAGGAUAUAAGUAAAUGUAAAAAAGAUGGCACCACACAGUGGAUGCAUUGUCGGGAAAGCAAAUGAUUUUACAUGACUCACAGCAAAGAAAGGAUGCAUAAGGCCACAAAUGACAGUUUGAUGGAUAGAGAUGGAUGGCCAAAGAGAAACCUCACUUAAAAUUCCUCCUUUGAACAUUCCUCCACUGAAGAAUUUCAUAGAACUACACUGUAUUUUUUCUCCCCUUUCAGUCUUUUAAUAAUUUAUUUGCCUGACUCUAAAAGCAAUGUAUGUUCUUUAGAACAAUGUUGAGAGUACGAAAAAGAAAAAAGAAUAAUAAAAGAUGACCUUUCUUCCUGAA